rnacentral:tRNA from 1 species
GGGGGCGUAGCCCAACCGGCAGAGGCGCCACGUCGAGAGCGUGGCUCGUGCGUGUUCGAAUCACGUCGCCCCCACCA